UACGUAGGGUGCAAGCGUUGUCCGGAAUUAUUGGGCGUAAAGAGCUCGUAGGCGGUUUGUCGCGUCGAAUGUGAAAACCCGGGGCUCAACCCCGGGCCUGCAUUCGAUACGGGCAGACUAGAGUUCGGUAGGGGAGUCUGGAAUUCCUGGUGUAGCGGUGAAAUGCGCAGAUAUCAGGAGGAACACCGAUGGCGAAGGCAGGUCUCUGGCCACUACUGACGCUGAGAAGCGAAAGCAUGGGGAGCGAACAGG
rnacentral:rRNA from 1 species